UACGUAGGUGGCAAGCGUUGUCCGGAUUUACUGGGCGUAAAGGGCGUGCAGGCGGUUUGUCUAGUCUAGGGUGAAAGCUCCCGGCUUAACUGGGAGAGGUCCUUGGAUACUGGCAAACUUGAGGGAGGCAGAGGAAAGUGGAAUUCCCGGUGUAGUGGUGAUAUGCGUAGAUAUCGGGAGGAACACCAGUGGCGAAGGCGGCUUUCUGGGCCUUACCUGACGCUGAGACGCGAAAGCGUGGGGAGCGAACCGG
rnacentral:rRNA from 1 species